UAGGGAAUUUUCGUCAAUGGGCGCAAGCCUGAACGAGCGAUGCCGCGUGAGUGAAGAAGGCCUUCGGGUCGUAAAGCUCUGUUGCGGGGGAAAAAGGCAGCAUCAGGAAAUGGGUGCUGACUGAUGGUGCCCCGCCAGAAAGUCACGGCUAACUACGUCGCC
rnacentral:rRNA from 1 species